rnacentral:rRNA from 1 species
UACGAAGGGGACUAGCGUUGUUCGGAAUCACUGGGCGUAAAGCGCACGUAGGCGGAUAUGUCAGUCAGGGGUGAAAUCCCGGGGCUCAACCUCGGAACUGCCUUUGAUACAGCAUGUCUUGAGUCCGAUAGAGGUGGGUGGAAUUCCUAGUGUAGAGGUGAAAUUCGUAGAUAUUAGGAAGAACCCCGGUGGCGAAGGCGGCCCACUGGAUCGGUACUGACGCUGAGGUGCGAAAGCGUGGGGAGCAAACAGG